UUUUUUUUUUUUUGACAGUGAAGGUGGGAACCAGGGAACUCAAGGUCUCAGGGACCAAGAGCACUGCCUCAAGAAACCACACGCUUUUAUUGUGCUCUUUAGAUGAGAUCAAGUGAGGAGGGGUUAUGGGUGGAGGAUAUAUGGUUUGUUUACUAUUUUAUAAGUUCUUUUACUAUUUUAAAGAGAUAUAUUCUUUAAAAAAAAUUCACCCUCAUUAUCAGUGAAUCUGUUUUAGGAGUGAUAUGUCCCUGAAGGACAAGAUUCCAUUUGUUCCCUGGUAAUAGAAGUGCUCACGAUCAUGUGAACUCUGCUCUUGAAUAUUCAAUCUUAAAAAUGCUGUAUCAGCCAUCCCCUAUUUUACAAUAGCUCUAAAUAUUGAGGACACAAUAAAUUUAGAAGGGCAAUAAAAUAGUCUUUAUGGUAGGCAAAACAUAGCUACUCAGUAAAUAUUUGACUACUUUCUCUACUGAUUACUGAGCUGCAAUUCUCCAUGAGUGUCUUGCAUUUCUGCAGGUCUUUGGAGCAGAGGCACUGAGUACCUUUAUUUCAGAGUAUCUUGUCAAGGAUAUUUGUAGUGAACUGCUUUGGAAGAUAUAGUAUCUCCCUCUGGAGCAAAAGGUGGUUUUGUUUCCUAUCUGGUAAUGUAAAGAUGCUGUCUCUUUCUGGAGCAAAAGGUCUGGGAGACUUAACUGCCCAUUAUAAAAGAUUUGGGUUCCGUCGCUCCUGUGACACACUCAGUGUAUGUGUCAGUGUCAUUUACUCCGUGGGAACUGGAGCCUGGGAAACUAAAAAAAAAAAAAAAACGGGAAAAAAAAAAAAAAAAAAAAAAAAAAAAAGAUGCUGUUAUUCCAGCUACUGUUAUGGAUGUGAGUAACAAACUGUCUUUUGUUUCUGAUCCAGGAGUGGCAUAUCUCUGCCAGAAACCCUGGCAGGAUAACUUGUUAGCUUGCAGGUUUGGUAAAAUCUCAGACCCUUCACAUUUCUUGACAUACUCUUCAUUUUCCAUGAAGAUUAUAACAACAUAAACCUUACUUCAUUUCUGAUGCAUUAUGCAUGUGCUUCAUUUAUUAUAUUCUCAAAAGAAGGUCAAAAUGUCUACCUACGAGGGCUGGCAGUUCCUUUUUUAGACCAGUUGCUCCCUCGUACCAGAUGAAUUAGCUGAAACUCUUGGUUUCAAGUUUGCAGAAACUAAUCAAAGAAAAACGUCCUUAUUUAUAUAUGUAGGAAAUAUACACCUAGAAAGGUGUUGGGAUAGCGCCUGUAGGAACCAGCAGUUGAAGAACGAGGACUGAACGCUCAGCAUGUGUCUGUCCUCUGCUUUUUUCUGGUUCUCCUUCUAUGUUGAUGCAGUGUUCUCCUCCUUUCCAUGGCAGGAGGGACAUUGCAAUGGCAACCUUAGCUUAGCAACCUGAGAAGAAAGGAGAAUUUGCCCAUAUUGAUUUUGGGAUGUGUUGUAAUAUGUACUCCUAUAGCUAUUAGAAAUACAUGCUGAGACUGAGGUCCAUUGAAGGAGGAGAGGCUGAAUAGACAGAAUAACCUAUUCAAACUCAAGAGUGGGUUUACUCCUGGUGAGUUAGUGCCAGCUGAGCUUUGCCUGGAAAUAGCUAUGUAGAGCCUAUUGGACGGAUGGAUGUAGCAGCAAUUGCAAGUCACCUAGAAAUGAUAAAGGACCUUAGGGCACUGGGAUGUCACAUUAGCAUUAAAUAAUAUAGUGAUGUACUAUGUGAAAUUUUUUUUUUUUUGACUGGCCUGCAGCAUACAGCAGUUCCCAGACCAGAGAUGGAAUCUGAGUCACAGCAGUGAUAGCACCAAAUCUUUAAUUGCUAGGCCACCAGGGAACUCCUGAAAGAUUUUAUUUUAGCUUUCAACAUAUAGUGUUUAGUUGUUUAGCAUCUUCCUAAGGGCAUCAGAUGAUAUUACUAUGCUUAUUUUACUUUUUGGAUAAAUUAUCCACAUUAUAAAGAAUUUAGUAACCUGGAAAAAGACCACAGAGCAAGUCAAGGGAAAGCAAAGGAUGAGUAUCCAUAAUUUCUAGUUUCUGAUGCUGUACUUGUUCAAUUAAGCCAAAUGGCUUUGGCAUUAGAAUCCUAAAGCUUAAGGACUGAGUGUCAGAAAAGUAUACACCACCUCUUCUUUCCUGGGAUGGUGAUUUUUUCUCCUUCUUUAUCUUCUUUUGCUUCCUCUUCUUCCUCUUCCUCUUCCUUCUUCUUCUUCUAAAUAGUAUUGGUACCUGGUAAAUAUAAUAAAAAAAAAAGAAUCCAAUUAUUUCAUCUAUCAUUUUGCCCUCAAGAUAGAUGACCUCAAAAUUCAGAAACUACGUGAAAGUGGUGAUAGAUGAGCUUUUGAAUUUUGUGCCCAUAUUUAUAGAAUUUUGUUGUUAUUCUGUGAUACAUUUGCAUUAAUAUAUGCUAAGGGUGGAUGAAAUGCUGUAAAUUAAUCUUUUCAGGUGAUUUUUAAUAUCAGUGUGAGAACUGACACACAAGACAAUUCGGAUUGUUAUAGCUUGUUUUUAAUUUUCAGCUGUGCAUAUGACUUGGCUUUUUUUUUUUUUUUUUUUUUUGGCCACUUGGCUUUGUGCAAAUAUUUACAUCUCAAUGACUACAUACUUCAUAGCUGAGUCAAAAAGAGAAAACCGAUCAAGUUACUGUGUGAUGUAUCUUAAAAAUAUGGCAACACAGAGGAAUUUAGUGUUGUUCUGGAGCUAGUGCUCACUGACUCAUGAGAACCAACCUUAACAUCUCCUUCAGUAUUGGCAAAAGAAUGGACCUCCAAUGAUGUUCACAUCCUAAUCCCUGGGACCUAUGAAUACCUUAUGCAGUAAUAAGCAAAAGAAGUUCUGCAGGAGCAAUUAAUGUAAAGGAUCUUGAAGUGGAGAAAUUAUCCUGGAUUAUCCAGUGGGUCCAGUCUAGUCACAUGAAUUCUUAAAAACAGAGAACCAAUCCUAGCUUAAGGUCAGAGAGAGCGAUGAUGGAAAGAAGGUCAGGAGAUGUGGUUGUGAAAAUGACUUGACCCUCCAUUGCUGGCUUUGACGGUAGAGAAGGGGGGCCAAGGAAAGUGGGUGGCCCCAAGAAGCUGGGAAGGGCAAAGGAACAGAUUCUCCCCUUGGGAUUCCAGAAAAGUAUGAAACCCUUUUGACACCUUGAUUUAACCUGGUGAGCUGUAUGUAGGUCAGACUCCCAGCACACAGAACCAUAAGGUAAUAUACUUGUGUUGUUUUGAACCACUAAGUUUGUACUAUGGCAGCACAACACUAAGUUUUAAUGGCAGCAAUGGAAAACUAACGGCAAUACCUCCCAACUCUACAUUUGGUUACAUCACCCUGCUAUCUUAAAAUCAGCCAUGGUGGGGUUAUUUACAUUGCUGAAAUACUACAAAAUAGCAAUUUAUUUUUUUCCUGAGAGCUAGUUGUUCAGAAUUUUACAGCACACCACUGGAAAUAAUUCCUCUUCGUUAAGGUUACUCGAGCAAAGUGAGUUGAAUAAGUGUCUAACUCAAUUACUUUGGGAAAUCAACUUGUAAUUUGAGGAGGAAAAUGCCGUUCAUUAAUAUAAGGCGGUGGUGAGGGUUACACCUUGUAGCCUGGGGGAGGGAGGUGGUAGGAGAGUGGUGAUGGGUCAGGAAAGGGACACUAACUAAAACCUUACUUCAUUUUACUUCUGUUAACAAGCUUGAAAGGUCUAAAUUCAUUUUCAGGAAUUUGUUAACUUUUGUUAAUAACACAGGAAUUUUGGAAAAGCCAAGAUAAUGUGGGACUUAGGCAACUCCCAGGAAGUUGCCCUGAUCAUGUUACAUACCUGAUGUUUGAAUUUCUUGCCAAAUGGCUUCCUGUUCUUUACGUGAACACCAUAAGUGAAUGGAAAUCAAAGUUGUUUUACAGCUUUGAAUAGCUGUGAUUAGUCGAUAGUUUUGUUUUAUACUGAGCUAUCAUCUGAUUCAGUUUAACUUUAGAAAUAGGCUCAGUCUUGCCCUCUGAGACUAUGUACAUCCAAUCUAAAGCCAAUCCAUAGUCACAGAAUAUAGUAGAAUGAUUAUUUGUUCAGUACAUCAUACUUUAGUUAAUGAAGACCCAGGUUCAAGGAGCUUUUCUUGGAAUGUUCCAUCACACUGUCAACUAGGUAGCUAGAAAAAGUGCAAGAUAAGGAAUCAAGAGACCUGAAAUCAAAGGGGUCAGCCACAGUGCUAUCUAGUGACCUAAGACACUUCAAUAGCCAAUAUAUACUGAAUGUAGGCUGGGUUCUAGGUACUAUACUAAGCUCUCUGGAUACAGUGAGGAGCAAACAACGAUCCCACCUUAUGAAGAGCUUACAUUCUAAUGGGAGGGAGACAGACAUUAAGGGGUAAGCCUGAUGAAUUACAUGCCUUGAAGGUAAUAGAGCCCUGAAACAAAAGGAGUAAUGGCAGAGGAUAAAGAGUGAUUCAGAGUGCUGAAAGGAAGGGUGAUUUGAGUGGCAAUCUGAAAUAGGAAGGUCUGGGUAGGCUUCAUUGAGAUGAUGAUAUUUGAGUGAUAAUGUGAAGAAGGUGAGGGAGUCAGACCUGUGGAUAUGGUGGAGAAAGUGCUCCAGGGGGAGGGACCAUUCAGUGUAAAGGCUCUAAGGUGGGAGUAUUCCAUUUUCUUAUGUUAAUUUUGGAUGUAUAUAGCUUUCCCAUUCUUUUACUUUUAACCUAUUUGUAUCAUUACAUUUAUUUAUUUUAAAUUUUUAAAUUAAAAUAUAGUUGGUUUACGAUGUUGUGCCAAUUUUUGCUAUACAGCAAAGUGACCCAGUCAUACAUAUAUAUUAUGUAUGACUUUCUUAUAUUAUCUUCCAUCAUGGUCUAUCCCAAGAGACUGGAUAUAGCUCCCUGUGCUAUAUGCAGGACCUCACUGUUUAUCCAUUCUGAAUGUAAUAGUUUACAUCUACUAACCCCAAACUCCCAGUCCAUCCCUCUCUCUCUGCCCUCCCCCCUUGGCAACCAUGAGUCUGUUCUCUAUGUCUAUGAGUCUGUUUCUGUUUUGUAGAUAAGUUCAUUUGUGCCAUUUAAAAAAAAAUUCUUUUUAGGGCCGCACCUGUGGCACAUGGAAGUUCCCUGGAUAAGGGUGGAAUUAGAAUUGCAGCUGCAGGCCUACACCACAGCCACAGCAACACGGGAUCUGAGCCACACCUGUGACCUAUGCCAUAGCCCAUGACAAUGUUGGAUUCUUUAACCCACUGAGCAAGGCCAGGAAUCGAACCCACAUCCUCAUGGAUGCUUGUUGGGUUCUUAACCUGCUGAGCCACAACUGGAACUCCUGUGCCAUAUUUUAGAUUCCACAUAUAAAUGAUGUCAUAUGGUAUUUGUCUUCCUCUUUCUGACUUACUUCACUUAGUAUGUUCUAGUUGCAUCCAUGUUGCUGUAAAUGGCAUUAUUUAAUUCUUUUUUAUGGCUGAGUAGUAUUCCAUUGGAUAUAUUAUUUUUACCAUAUUUAAAAGGGAAUUUUGGUGUAGACGGUCUUAUUUUGUUAUCUAAUCUAACAAUACCUGCAUUGCAUUUUAAUUGGAGUUUUAAGAUUAUUUAUAUUUAAAUAAUUAGCAGUAUGGCUGAAUUUAAAUUUACCAUCCUUUUAUUUGCUCCUCUUAUCUUCUUUAAACAUUUCAUUUCCUGAAGUCUUUUGGAUUGAGCAUUUUAAAAUAUAGUAUAUUUUACAUUUACUAUUAACUUAUUUUCACUACUUUAAUUUUAUUAUAAUUGCUAGAGUUUACCAUAUGGAUCUUUAUUUUUCUUUUAAGUAAUUUUAAAAUAAGGGAAACUAUUUUGUAUUUCUCUAUGUUUUUAUUUUUUAUUUUUGGCAUUUUUCAUUCCUCUGUAUAGGUUCAAGUUUCAUCAGAAAUCUUUUUUUUUCCCUUGAAGAACUUUCUUUAACAUUCUUUAUAGUGUAGUUUUUCUGAUGUAAAUUCCUUCAGCUUUUAGUUUUCUGAGAAAGUUUAUUUCAUCUUUAGUUUUGAGUGCUAUUUUGGUAGAUAUAAUAGGCUAAAUUGACAGUAUUUUCCUUCAGCACUUUAAAGAUCUUAUUUCACUUUUUUCUGGCCAGCAUAGUUUCAGACAAGAAGUCUAUAUCAUCUUUAUUUUUGUUUUCUCUGAAUGUAAUACAGCUUUUUUCUUUGGCUUUCUUUAAAGUUCUGAAUCAUCACUGGUUUUUAGAAAUUUUAUUGUUUUAUUUCUUGGUAUGUUUUUUAUUUAUGUUUAUUCUGCUUGAGUUUUAUUGAGGCUAGUGGAUCUUUGGGCUUAUAAUUGUACAAAAACCUUAAAACAUUUGCUAUGAUUUCUUUAAACAUUUUAAUACAUAUAUUAUAUUGCUUGAUAUUAUCCACAAGUCUCUAAGGCUGUCAUUUUUUUGUCUUUUUUUUUUUUGCUUUUUGUGAUUUAUUAUAGUUUCAAUUGCUAAGUCUUUAAGAUCACUGAUGUUUUCUUCUACAGUAUCAAUUAUGCUAUUAAUUAAAGUCAGUGAAAAACAUUUUUCUAUAUAUGUAUAUUUUACACCUUCAAAAUUUCCAUUUGGUUCUAUUUUAUACUUUCAUAUAUCUCAUCAUUAUGCUUAUAUUUUUGUUUAAGUCUUUGGGUAAAUUCAGCAUACUUACAAAAUCUUUUUUUGAAAUCUUUGUUAAUUCUAUUCAUCUGUAAUUUCUAGAUCUAUUUCUAUAGUGUGAUAUUUUUCUUAUCAUUAUAGGUCACAUUUUCUUGCCUCCUCAUCUAUCUAAUAAUCAUGUGUUUACUUUGAGUGCUGGAUUUUGUUAUCUUCCUUUAAAGACUCUUGGAUUUUGUUAUGGGUGGUGGUGAAGUGACUUUCAGAUUAGACUGAUUCCUUUGAGGCUUUUUUAAAAAGCCCUUUAAGACACAAAUCUAGAGUAACCAUUAUUCUAGGAAAAAAAUUUAGCCCUGCUGCUGGGUUGUGAUCCUUCUAUAGUCUGUGUUCAGUGAGGUUUUUCCAUUCUAACUGGAGGGAACUUGAACAAUUCCAAGCCAUGUGUGAACUCUGGGAAUGGUUUGGCUUACAAUUCUCCAACAGUUUGUUCUUUACCUAGAACUUGUUUUUGCCUGGCCUUGUGGAGUUUCACCUUCCAUGUGAUUUUAAAAAAAAAAGACUCAAGGAGGUCCCUGUACAGAUCUGUGCUUUCCCUAUGAAGUCUUUUCUCUCUGGUACCCCUUGCCUCCCCCCAAAUUCUGGCUGACUCUGCUGUUCUAAAUUCCCAUCUCUGCCAUCUCAACUCAGCGAUACUGCCAAUUUGGGUUGUCCUCCUUGUGCCAUGGUCUAGACAUUGUCUUCAACUGGAAGGAAAGAUUAUGAAAGAGGAGACAGUCCUUAGGGAGUUUAUUUUUACCCCUCCUUUAUUGAGAUAUUAUUGACAUAUAACAUAUGUAAGUUUAAAGUGUACACCAUGAUCAUUCAAUGCGUGUAUCUAUUGUGAAAUAUUUACCACAGUAAGGUGAGUUAAUACCUCUACCCUCCAAUAUAAUUACCACUUUUUUGAUGAUAACAUUUCAGAUCUCUCUCUUAAUAACUUUCAGUUAUAUAAUAACAUAUUGUUAAUGAUAGUCACCAUGCUAUACAUUAGAUCCCCAGAACUUAUUCAUCUUAGAGCUAGAAGUUUUCCUCAUUUCCCAUUUUCCUCACCCCCAUGUCCCUGGUGACCACCAUUCUACUCUUAAUUUCUGAAUGAAAUGAUUUUAGAUUCUCUGUAUAAGUAACAACAUAGAGUAUGUGUCUUCUCUGUCUGACUUAUUUCACCUGGUGUAACGCCCUCAAGUCUUGUCCACGUUCUUCAUGUUCCUUCUUUUUUUAUGGCUGAAUGAUACUCUGUUCUACCAACAUAAGGAAGUUCACGUCUAUGGUUAGUUUUGUAACAGUAAAGAAAAACACAAAACAAGCAGUAUUGAAAUGUAUAAAGCUUUUUAAGCACCCUAACCUUAACCUUUACUACUUUGUUCAAGAUGGGUGGUAGAGAGCAGUAAAAAGAAGCUUGUCAGGAAUCAGAAGCACCGAGAAGCUGUCCUGACCUUUGCAUGAAACAUUAUGCCACUAAUUUCCCCCAUGUCUCUCAAUAGUCUGUAAAAGUAAUUUUUAAUACAAUUUUAUAUUAAAAUUGUAUUUCAAUACAAUUGUGCAACAUAUCAAAAAAAAGCUAGAGUGUAUACACAUCUCUUAUAUUUGAUAAUUCUAAAUGUUUCUUUGUAUUAAAAAACUAUUAAUGACUUUAUAAUUUAGAGCAUUUUAGUAAGUGUGCCCCCCAAAUCCUGCCUUUGUUAUAUUGAAAAAUUCUAAUAAUAGGGCCAUAAUUAUUAUUAUAAAAAUAGUAUCUCAAAAUUAAGGAUUAUGUGUAUUUUAGGACUAUAAACUGGUAUGGAAAUAUAUUAAGGGAGAGAGUAAAAGCUGGGCCUCCGUAAGGCUUUAACCUGGAAAAUAAUUGCUGUGAAAUGUUCAAAAUUCAAUUCAAUAAAAAAAUUCACCUAU
rnacentral:lncRNA from 1 species